ACUGCACUCAAGCCUGAGCAAUAGGGCAAGACAGUGUCUCUUAAAAAAAAAAAAAAGAAAAAGAAAAAAAUCCUGGCAAUUUAGAGACAGUCUAAAGCUUGCAACCAAAUUCCUCAUUAAUAAUUACAUUCCCCUGCAGCCCUCAAAUGCAGAGCCUAUGCUGGGUUCAUUUGUGGGACUGACAGGAUGGAAUGAGCACAGGUUCCAAAAGCUACCUGACCUUUAUUUCCCUCAUGAGGAAACACUUGUGUGACAGAGUUUUCAUCUGGUUUAAAUAUAAGAAUGUCAGCCCACAGCAGGCACUUAAUGGAUGCUAGAUUUCUGACAGCUGCUCUAUUAGCUAGAUCCUAAUGGGCCACCAUACUACUGGGAGCCCUGACAGUACAGGGCACUGCAUUUCUGCCUUUGCAGGAAAGCUGCCCUGUGCCCAGGGAGAGGUGAAACUCACAGGAGCAUUCAAAGCACAGGCCCUGAGUCACUGUCUGGAGAAUCCUCUUAGAAGGCAGGGCCUAGGUGGUAUAAUUAUCUUUGUAUAAUAUGUGGUUCACCUAUUGGUGUAGUCAGGUACAAAAACGUCAUGUGAUCUUGCAAGAAAUGACAGCUCUGGGCAAAAUAACAGAUAGUUGAGUUGUGGAAAUCAUAUGUUGGAAUAAGAAGUAAGGAGAGUUCAUGGCUGGGAGUUUCAGCUUUAUCUCCACCAUGUCUCUCAUACCCAUCUUCUUCUUCCUGUUCUCAGACACCACCCUCAGCACCCCAUUACCUCUUACUGUGUUGCCAAAGGCCCAGUUACAUCUGCCCUCAUGCACAUGCCAUAGGGCAUUUAUUUACUAAAUACACUGGAUCAUGUCAUUCAUCUGCCUGCAAAAUAAAACUGUUCAGCUUCACAAUGAAGGCGUUUCUUAACCUGGCCUCAAUUUACCUAUCUCAUGUCACUGCCUACUACUCACCUGCCUGCAGUGCCGCCAGAGCCCUAAUCACAUUGAAUUAUUUCCUCUACCUGGGACACACCUCCCUCACAGCUUUUUCUGUCUUCAUUUUCCCUUGUCCUUUAAUACCCUGUUCACUCAAACCCUUACUUGUCCCAUUAAUCCUUCAUUUCUUUGCCCUUUUACCCUAGCACUGGUCAGUCUGUCUCUUUGGCUUAAUGUCAUAUGAACACAUCUGUCUCUCCUUAAAAUAUGUCGUUUGUUUCAUCAUUACAUCUUGGCAAUGGAGGCUGGUAAUAAGCAAUUGAGAACUACACAUAAAGUGAUAAAGGGAAUGCCAGAGAGAGGUUAGGAUGAGAGGCAGGAAACACCCACCUGUCCUUGACUUGCAGCAGGUAGCAGACCAAGCAGUAGCCCGCGCAACUUUGCACAAAAUUGCGCUGGGCACUGAGGAAUGCCUCAGUGGUGUAACUGCCAUGCUCUUGUAGGAAGUAAUCGAGCAAGGAGAGCUGUGACUGUUUCUUCACCUGGUGGAUGGACACAGCAUUGACCACUGGUUCAAUCAUGCCACUAUCAGCCGAAAUCACAAGGAUCUUGUAUGGCUUGAUCCAGAGGGGUACUCGCUCCUGUUCCCAAAUGGACUGUGAGGAGACAUGGAAGUAUUGGGGCUGUCAUCUUUCUCCAAACUAGAGGAGGUGGCUAAAACUCCCCGUUUUCCCCAACCCCUCUCCUUGGCAGCAUUGGAUUCUGAAGCCAUCACAUCAAAUGAAUAAGACUCCCUGAUCCUACUGAAGACCAAUAAGUUCUGAAAGGAAGUCCAAGUCCUGACAAAGUCAAGAAACUACACUCCAGUUUGCUUUAACACCUGGAAGGCCAGCAGCUCUUGCCUAAGGUCAUCCCCACAUUUGACAAUGACUGACAGGAGCCGCCAAUUGGGGAGAUGGCCAUAGGGGGAGCCCUCUCUGAUCCGCCUGUGAAGAGAGAAGAAAAGGGUGUCAAAGGGCAAGGCCAGGGUGAAGCCAGAGAUAUGGCUUCUACCAAAAAUCCAAAGCAAACGCCCCAUAAGACAAGGACUCAGACUGCCUGGGAGCCUGACAGACUUUUUGGAGGCUAACGGAUGAUAAAGAUGGUGCAGUGAGCACCUGCAAUUGCCUCCGGGCUACAAGAGGGGUAGAGAGACCACCCCCCCCACCCAACUCACCGCACUUUUUCCUGCCAGGGCUCUUUGAGAGCAACUGCAGAAGGGUCUUCUGGGUCUCGUUUGAAGGCCGUGGGGGUGUGAGCCAGCUGUUCCGAAAGGCGCCGUCUAGCCGGAAGAAAAUACAUCAUUUGCUUGGAGGAGCUACUACCCCAGAGUCUUAUGUCCCUGUCUAUGCUGGCAUUUCCUGUUCUGUUUCCUGGAUUCUGGGCACACAGAGAUAGGAACCCAGACUGAGAAAGACUCAUGGAAGGAAACUUUUUGCUAACCUGGUGGUUUGUAAUCAUGUAAAAAUGCAGAUUACCAAGGCCUCUCUAUUCCUUCACCAAGAUUGAUUCAGAAUGGGGUCUGACUCCAGAAUCUACACUUUCAACAAGGCCUCCUCCUUCACCCUUGAUUCUGACACAUGUCAAUUUGAGACCCCACUUUGAGAAACACUGCUCAAAUUCCUUCCUCUGGUGCUUUCAUCCUUUUGGAGUCCUUUUAAAAUUUAAUUUCCUUCUGUAGUAGCCCAAGUAAUUUCUCAACCUGCACCUUCACUGCCUCAAGUUUGGUGGCUUCAGGACAAGGAUGGAAUAAGGAGAGAAAAGGGAAAGACACAGGCUGACAACAGGUGAUUAAGACAGAGAAGAAGGGGACAAAAAGAUAAUCAGUGCCUGAAAGAGGGUUGAAGUAUGAGGGGCAAUGUAAUCUGGCCAUACCGGAUGUCCCCCGCUGCAAUAAACACAGGCUCCUUGCUCUCUUGGCUGGUGAUGCUGUCCACGGAGAACUGAGAGAUGUUGUCACAGCUGUUGGUGUGCACUUCAGGGAGCUGGGGAGAGCAGGGGAGCACUCGUCAGAAGUGCUAUGCACAGGUCUCCUUUCUGCCACCUCCUGCCUGUUUGCCAUCACCAUGGCAUGUUCAUCCUACCUCCACCCCUCUUCUAAACUCUUCUCCAGAAAGCCUCCCUGGUUAUACACCAUCCUGAUCACUUGGACCCCAAACUGCUUAGCACUCACAAAGACCCUACCUACUGCAGUGUUUCUCAAAGUGUGAAUUACCUGGGAUGCUUGCUAGAACGCAGAUCCCCAGGCCCCACCAUCAAUCUGAAUUAGAAUCACUGGGAAUGGGAUUUGAAAGUCUGAAUUUUUACCAAGUUCUCCAGAAGACUCCCAAUGCACUAAAGUUUGCAAACCACUGCCAUGACCAUCAUGGAAGCCUGAACUUUCAGCCUCAUACCCCACCCUGCCCCCAAGGCUGGGGAUCCAUUCUCUGCUAGGGUGCUAAGCAGACCCUUUUCAGACUAGAUUCCUCUGACGAUUUCUUCAAUCUAAGUCAUUCACUCUUAUCUCCCCAUCUCUAAUUAUGAAAUAUUCUAUCAGACCCCAAGGCCCAUAUCAAGUCCCUUCUCUCCUUCCUUUAUACCAGAGCAUUUCUCCUCAACUCCAUUUGUCACCUAGAGCACACUGCCUUGUAUAUCUCAAUUACUUUUUUUCUUAAAUAUCUGUAUCUAAUCUGCCCAAUUGGACUGUAAACUUGAGACAGAGAUACUGUCUUUUCACAAAGUGAAAUCUGGCCACGUUAAUGGCCCUACAUAAGGUCCUGCUCUGGGGCUCCUCCUGACCCCAGAAUAAAGUUCAAGUUUCUUUCCUAGUUUACAAGGCCCCUCCUACAGUCUGGCACAUGCCAACCUCUCCAGUCUCAUUCUUCACUACUUCUCACCUCACACGGGUACAUCACAGCCAGACACAAUUUCUUUCAGUUCCUGUAAUAGGCCAAGCUCCUUCUUAUCUUCUGGUCUUUGCACAUGCUAUUUCCUCUGCCCAGAAUAUUCUUUGUCCAGCUAAUUCUUACCCACGCUUCAGGCCUCAGCUGAGAUUACUUCCUCCAGGAAAUCGUUUAUGAUGCUCACCACAAAUCUGGAGUGAGCGCUACCCCCACCCUCAGGUGCUCCUAUCAUGGCCCAUCCUCUCCACCACAACCUGGAUCAUACCAUACUACAACUAGCUUAUUGGCCUUGUUAUCUCUCCUAUUAAGCCCCCUUGCAGGCAGGGGCCAAGUCUUGUUCACUAGCACACAGCACUCAGCUCUGGCACACAGAAGAUCCUCAAUAAAUAUUUCUUGAAUGAA